CUUCUCCCAGAGAAGUUCGUAUCUUUCUUCGGUUUCUUUCACCUCCCGGAGCUUUUUCUUGUUAAUGCGUUCCGACAGACAUGAGGGAGGACUUUACGAGAGAUAGGAGGUGUGCGACUCGCCGCGUUGACUCGGGAGUCUUUAAAAGCUACAAAGGGUUGUGCAACAAAACGUGGCUGGCAAAGAGGAAGCUAUUCUUCUAUCAGCAGAGCUUCAAAGUGCACCAGGUUGCCAGAACAUGAACAUCCUUCCUGGUUGCAAGAAGCUGGAGCCUAUUGCAAGUGUCAUAGGACACCGAGCACACCCUGGACAGGUUGACAGUCUGAUUGAACAACAUCAAAAAUUACGUUUUUCUGAUA